rnacentral:rRNA from 1 species
UACAUGGGGUGCAAACGUUGCUCGGAAUUAUUGGGCGUAAAGCGCGCGUAGGCGGUUACUCAAGUCGGAUGUGAAGCCCUCGGCUUAACUGAGGAAGUGCACCCGAAACUGAGUAGCUAGAGUACCAAUGAAGGAGCGCGGAAUUCCCGGUGUAGAGGUGAAAUUCGUAGAUAUCGGGAGGAACACCGGUGGCGAAGGCGGCGACCUGGGUAGAUACUGACGCUGAGGCGCGAAAGCGUGGGAGCAAACAGG